rnacentral:rRNA from 1 species
AAUAUUUGACACUGGGGGCAACCCCGAUCCAGCCAAGCCGCGCGUGUGAAGAAGGUCUUCGGAUUGUAUAGCACUCUAAGAUGGGUGGCAGGGCUUUAGGCUAAUACCCUGAAGGUUUGACGUUACAAACAGAUUCAGCCCCGGCUAACUCUGUGCCAGCAGCCGCGGUAAUACAGAGGGAGCAAGCGUUAAACGGAAUUACUGGGCGUAAAGCGCGCGUAGGUGGUUCAAUAAGACUGGUGUGAAAGUCCCGGGCUUAAGCUGGGAACUGCUUUGGUAACUGCUGAGCUUGAGUACGGUAGAGGGAAGUGGAAUUUCCAGUGUAGCGGUGAAAUGCGUAGAGAUAGGGAGGAACACCAGUGGCGAAGGCGACUUCCUGGACUGUUACUGACACUGAGGUGCGAAAGCGUGGGGAGCGAACA